CCGAGGCCUGCCAAGCAUCAAGAAGUCCACACAGCAGAGAGGUGCAGUCAGGAACAAGCUGGGGAAACUGGGUCCACCUAGACCUCAGUCUCUUCAUCCCAGAAGCGAGAGGUGCAGUCAGCGACAAUCUGGGGAAACUGGGCCCACCUAGACUUCAGUGUCUUCAUCCCAGAAGCCCGCACCGCGGAGAGGUGCGGAAGGGAACAAGCUGGGGAAACGGGGUCCACCUAGACCUCGGUCUCUUCAUCCGAGCGUAGCUUCCCUUUCCCCUCCCCAGAAGCCCACACAGCGAAGAGGUGCGGACCGGAACACGCUCGGGACGGGCAGAGGGACCCGUAGGGAGGCAGGAAGGACGGUCCCUGCCAACAUAGCCCCAUUCACCCCAUUUUCCUUUUUGUCCGCCAUAAACUGGACCCACUUUGCAUCUACCCUUCCCCCAAAGCAAACAGCAUCCUCCCACUACCCUGCAGCUGGGCCCCCCCCACUGGUCCCCGCUUUCCCGGUGGAGACGGC
rnacentral:lncRNA from 1 species